rnacentral:rRNA from 1 species
CACGUAGGGCGCAAGCGUUGUCCGGAAUUAUUGGGCGUAAAGAGCUCGUAGGUGGUUUGUUACGUCUGCUGUGAAAUCCUAGGGCUUAACCCUGGGCUUGCAGUGGAUACGGGCAGACUAGAGGUAGGUAGGGGAGAAUGGAAUUCCUGGUGUAGCGGUGAAAUGCGCAGAUAUCAGGAGGAACACCGGUGGCGAAGGCGGUGAUCUGGGCCGACACUGACGCUGUAGAGCGAAAGCGUGGGGAGCGAACAGG